CGCGCACAGGCAGUGUGCAGAGCCCCCUGUCCCCUCUGCCUAGGAGCCAGAGGGACAUGCCGGCUGCUUCUGGGAACCACACGGAGUCAGAGCAGGCAGAGAGCCUGCCAUUGCCCCACUGUGACACUGACCAGGAACUGCCUGAGAGUAUCUCCAUUGAAGGCAAUGGGGUUAUCCUGAUGUAAAACCGGUGCAACUAAGAAGAGAAUAAGAGAGCUCAGCCAGACACAGAAUAUGUCAGACGCUGGUGAAGAUUUCCACAGCACACUCACUCUUCCUGUCUCUCAGGCAUCUAUAUGGCCCAUAUCAGUUCUGGAAAUCACUGUCUAUCAAGACAGUGCCUGGGGACCCAGCUGUGCUUUUCAGCACAAGAUGUUCUUCUGCUACUCACUCGAAGUAUAUCUUGGGAUGAAGAUUUUUGGCUGUUUGUGAUAAUCCGCCAAAUCCUGCUAUUACAGGUUAUUCCAUUUUACAAAGAAUAUUAGCAGGCUCAGAUAUUCCUUCUGUCUGUAAAUUCAAACACCACCUUUCAAUUGUUUAACCAAUGGCUUCCUUGCUGAACAUUAUAUUACAUCUUUUAUAUUAGGAAGUCUAUUAAUUCAUUGUUAUGGCUCAUUAUUUCUAUUAACA